rnacentral:rRNA from 1 species
GAUGAACGCUGGCGGUAUGCCUAAUACAUGCGAGUCGUGCGGAAAGGUCCCUUCGGGGAUACUCGAGCGGCGGACGGCAGAGUAACGCGUAGGAACAUACCCCAAACUGAGGGAUAACUGCUCGAAAGAGUAGCUAAUACCGCAUGUGGUCUUCGGACUAAAGCUUCGGCGGUUUGGGAAUGGCCUGCGUUCGAUUAGCUAGUUGGUGAGGUAAAUGCUCACCAAGGCGACGAUCGAUAGCUGGUCUGAGAGGAUGAUCAGCCUGACUGGAACUGAGACACGGUCCAGACUCCUACGGGAGGCAGCAGUGGGGAAUUUUGGACAAUGGGGGCAACCCUGAUCCAGCCAUGCUGCGUGAGUGAAGAAGGCCUUCGGGUUGUAAAGCUCUUUCGGCCGGGAAGAAAUCGCACGGGUUAAUACCCCGUGUGGAUGACGGUACCGGAAUAAGAAGCACCGGCUAACUACGUGCCAGCCGCCGCGGUAA